rnacentral:rRNA from 1 species
GACAUAGGUCGCAAACGUUAUCCGGAAUUAUUGGGCGUAAAGGAUGCGUAGAUUGUUCAGUAAGUUACUGGUGGGAAAUCGAGGCCCAACCUCGUGGAAGUCAGUAAUACUGCUGAACUUGAGUACAGGAGAGGUUAACGGAAUGGUUCGUGUAGGGGUAAAAUCCGCAGAUAUGAACUGGAACAUCAAUAUGGCGAAGGCAGUUAACUAUUCUGUUACUGACGUUUGAGGCAUGAAAAGCGUGGGGAGCAAAACGG